ACGCGAAGCCGCGGGUGGAGCAAAUCCCUAAAAAGACCGGUCUCAGUUCGGAUUGCAGGCUGCAAUUCGCCUGCAUGAAGUCGGAAUCGCUAGUAAUCGCAGGUCAGCAUACUGCGGUGAAUACGUUCCCGGGCCUU
rnacentral:rRNA from 1 species